rnacentral:rRNA from 1 species
CAGGUAGCCCGAAGAAAUUCGGAUUAAUGCUCCAUGGUUUAUCGAUAUGGCAUCGUAUUGAUAAUAAAGAUUUAUCGGUAUAAGAUGGGCAUGCGUAUCAUUAGCUAGUUGGUGUGGUAACGGCAUACCAAGGCAACGAUGAUUAGGGGUCCUGAGAGGGAGAUCCCCCACACUGGUACUGAGACACGGACCAGACUCCUACGGGAGGGCAGUGAGGAAUAUUGGUCAAUGGAGGCCUCUGAACCAGCCAUGCCGCGUGCAGGAUGACGGUCCUAUGGAUUGUAAACUGCUUUUGUACAGGAAGAACUCCCUACGAGUAGGGACUUGACGGUACUGUAAGAAUAAGGAUCGGCUAACUCCGUGCAGCACCGCGGUAAUACGGAGGAUCCGAGCGUUAUCCGGAAUUAUUGGGUUUAAACGUAGGCGGUCUUAAAGUCAGUGGUGAAAUUUCUAGCUUAACUAGGACACGGCCAUUGAUACUGUUUGACUUGAAUAGUAUGAAGUAACUAGAAUAUGUAGUGUAGCGGUGAAAUGCUUAGAUAUUACAUGGAAUACCAAUUGCGAAGCAGGUUACUACGUAUUUAUUGACGCUGAUGAAGAAAGCGUGGGGAGCGAACAGGAUUAGAUACCCUGGUAGUCCACGCCGUAAACGAUGGAUACUAGCUGUUCGGUUUUCGGACUGAGUGCUAAGCGAAAGUGAUAAGUAUCCCACCUGGGGAGUACGUUCGCAAGAAAACUCA